CCACUGCUGUUCAUCUGCCUGUCUACCAGACCAGCGUACCACUGCUGUUCACCUCCCUGUCUUUCUUUCCAUAAUGAAGCUUAUCCUGACUCUCUCUCUCAUCUGCACUCUCUUCUGCUCAGGUAACACCUCUGACCUCACACUGAGAUGGGCAUACAGUUUUUUUGGACUGCAUCACUCCCAAAUGUCUAUGUUAAUAUUUCAACAUAGCUAAAUUGCUUGUACAGUAUAUUACUCAAUUGUCUUAUUUAAUGUGUAUGUAUUUUUGUUUAUUUUCUUGUUUUUCAGUUGAGAUGCUGCAGUGUUUCAAAUGCAUUGGUGAAGAAUGUACAAACUCAUCUUUAGUCAACUGUCCAGCCAUUUCCAACAAAACAUGUCUCACUGCAAACCUAAGGGCAAAAGGUGUGUUUAGAGUUUGUUAUCCACUUCACGAUAAAGCUUCAAGACCAAUUAAAUGAUGCCAUUAGCUUCCUCAUGAAGGAUGUUUUGAACCCUCCUGUCUCUAUGCUACUAUUUCAAUACAUUCUAUUCUAAAUUGCUCUCUCUUUCUUUGGUUUUGUAAUGGAUCUGUUACUGGUGAAGGUCUCAUCAAUGUCACCACGGUAGUCAAGGGGUGUUCACCAACCUCCAACUGCGGAUCUCCUCUGAACAAUGGAACCACAGUGUCAGUGAACCAGGGCUUCUCAUACACUGCCUUUAACUUGCUCUGCUGUAACACCGAUGGGUGCAACAAUCAAACUCAGCCUGCCCCCAAUUCGCUGGCUAAUGGAAGACAAUGUCCCUCCUGCAGCAGCUUCCAAGACACGGUGUGUAACAGCACUGUGGCCUGCCUGGGUGUGGAAGACCAGUGCUUUAGCGGCAGUGUAACACUUGGCUCUACCAAUAUUACUACGGUGAAUCUCAAGGGCUGUACAACUUCCAACAUGUGCAACUCUAUUGAUCAACUGCUGCCCUCAGUGAAUCAACUGCUGCCCUCAGUGAAUCAACUGCUGCCUUCAGUGAAUCAACUGCUGCCCUCAGUGAUUAUCAUGAGUGCAAUCACGGCUGUGAAUUUCACCUGUAAGACAGCUCCUGCAACUGUAACCACAGCCCCUGUAACUGUAACCACAGCCCCUGUUACUGUAACUACAGCCCGUGUAACAGCCACAGCCUGGUCAAUCCGACUGAGCCUAGUCCCUCUGCUGCUGGGCCUCACCAUCAGCAAACUUAUUUGAUAUAAACAGAGAUGAACAUAUCGGGACUCAUCUGACAACAUAAUGCAUUGAUUAAAAAACAACAGAAUGUACAAUGAUUUUCAUGUAUUGUGAAAUACGCACUAUAAUUGAAAUUCUGUUUGCUAGAUGAUGCCCAGUUACAUUAUAUAGUGUGCUUGCUUGAGGAAAUACUUUCUUAUAUAUUACUCUGUAUAUUUUAUAAAGUGUGAUAGCUUGUAAGUUUAAAACAAGUCAAUGCCAAUAAAGUUUCUAUCACUUUACCAAAAUGGAAAUAAA
rnacentral:lncRNA from 1 species